AAUGAAAACAUCCGAAUUUGAAAAAAAAAUCAGUCGUCCUGGUCCCUUUGCAGAAAAACAUCCCCAAAGCAUGAUGUUUCCACCCCCAUGCUUCACAGUAGGUAAGGUGUUCUUUGGAUGCAACCCAGCAUUCUUUCUCCUCCAAACACAACAAACUGUUUUUACCGAAAA